CCUGUCCAAGCACCUGUAGGUGUUCCUGUCGGAGUGCCUAUAGGUGUUCCUGUCGGUGUUCCUGUCGGAGUGCCUAUAGGUGUUCCUGUCGGUGUUCCUGGCGGUGU